UUUAACUGAGCGUUCAGUUACUUGACGUAGACCCGAAACCGGGCGACCUACCCAUGAGCAGGAUGAAGCGAAAGUAAAAUUUCGUGGAGGUCCGAACCCACGAGCGUUGAAAAGCUCGGGGAUGACUUGUGGGUAGCGGUGAAAUUCCAAUCGAGCCCGGAGAUAGCUGGUUCUCCCCGAAAUAGCUUUAGGGCUAGCCUCAAGGUGAGAGAUACGGAGGUAGAGCACUGAAUGUCCUAGGGGGUAUUGCACCUACCGAAGACUAUCAAACUCCGAAUGCCGUCAUCUUAUACUUGGGAGUCAGACUGUGGGUGAUAAGAUUCAUAGUCGAAAGGGCAACAGCCCAGAUCGUCAGCUAAGGUCCCUAAAUGUAAGUUAAGUGGUAAAGGAUGUGGGAUUGCACAGACAACCAGGAUGUUGGCUUAGAAGCAGCCACUCAUUCAAAGAGUGCGUAAUAGCUCACUGGUCGAGUGAUCCUGCGCCGAAGAUUUCCGGGGCUAAAACUUACUACCGAAGCUACGGCAUCAGUAAUGAUGGGUAGGGGAGCUUCCCAUACGGGUUGAAGCAUGACCGUAAGGACAUGUGGACAGUAUGGGAGUGAGAAUGUUGGCAUGAGUAGCGAGAUGUGGGUGAGAAUCCCACAGGCCGUAAACCCAAGGUUUCCAGGGGAAGGUUCGUCCGCCCUGGGUUAGUCGGGACCUAAGCUGAGGCCGAAAGGCGUAGGUGAUGGACAACAGGUUGAUAUUCCUGUACUACCGAUAACCGUUUGAGAGAAGGGAUGACACAGUAGGAUAAGCUAAGCACACUGUUGGUUAUGUGUGCCCAAGCAUUGAGGCAGUCAAAGUAGGCAAAUCCGCUUUGAUAAUGCUAGGAUGUGAUGGGGAGCGAAAUUUAGUAGCGAAGUAGCUGAUUUCACACUGUCAAGAAAAGUCUCUAUCGAGGUUAAAGGUACCCGUACCGCAAAC
rnacentral:rRNA from 1 species